GGGUGGAUGGGAUGGAGGGGUGUGGAGGAUUUACUAAGGGAGGAAAAGGGAAAGAAUGUUGGAAAAAGGAGGGAGAGAGAAGAAACGUAUAAUCACCCCCAAACAGCCAUCUUUACCCAUUUUACCCCCCUCUGGAUCUGCAUGCAUGCAUGGAGAGCACUCAGCCUGUGCGGCUGUCUGUCUCCACUUCACUGCGGAUACGGAGCAGGGAGGGCGGUCUGCUGGAAGACACCGAGAGGAGAGAAACCUCACUGCUGUGCCUGGGAAAGAUGGACAGUUGAACAAAUUGUGACCCUUUGUCACAGUGUAUGUAUGUCUGACACCAAAGCUUUCUCUUUGUCACUUUGAUCCUGAAAGUAAAUACUAGAAAAAGUUUACACUUGCAAACAAACAAAACUAAAACAGAGAACUCACUGAGACAUGUCAGUUCUGCUACUUUGUCUGAAAAUCUGUCUGACACUUUGUUCCUGAAAAAGGAAUAGAUUAUUCUGUGAGCAACACUAACUGAAAAUAUAAAAAGUUUGACUAAAGUGAAUAUGAGAGCUCCGACUCAGACAUUUAAAGCCAGACUACACACUUUGAAAAUAAAGCUGGAAUUUCUGCAGUAAUAAA